GUGCUUGAUUCAGCAGAAUAUAUGCCAAAAAUGGAACAAGAAGAUUAGCAUGACCCCUAAACAAAGAUGACACUCAGAUUUGUGAAAUGUUCCAUAUUUUU
rnacentral:snRNA from 1 species